GUUGUUGUUGCUGUUGUUGUUUUUAAACUAGCUUUUAGCUUACUAAAAAGUUUACUACUGCUAAUUUGUGUAUGUGAACUAAGCCAUAAGACCACACAGAUAAAAACCAUAGAGGCAGAAUUUGUUACUCUUCAUGCUGUGCAUAAAUUGUUGCUGACAGGCUUUUUGAAUGGUAUUAUCCUCUAAACAUCCUUCAGAGAAACUGGUGUGUGACAAUAGCAAAAGAUUUGGAUUCUGCUUCAUACUAGCUGUGUGACAGGUCUCUUUUGCAUGUUGGAGAAGUCAGAGGCAGACACCCCCGCUCCGGGACAGAAGAAGGCGGUGAGACAGCGAAGUCAGAGAGUGCCAGUCGCCAGUGGAGAUGCUGGGGCUGACUUCGUCACGGAGACGGUCUGGUGUCUGACUCAGCGUGCUGUGUGAAGCCUUCCAUGGAGCCUGACCCAUUUCCAGCCUUCUCAGGAGGUUUUCUCAUGAUAGGGAGACCCCCAUGAGACUCCCAAAUCAUGCCAUUUUACUUUUGCACAUGCUGCUUCUUUGGCCUGGAAAAGUCCUCAUCCUCCUGUCACCUUGGGGAAAGAAGCACUCAAGCCUCACUUCCUCCGUAAAGCUUUCCUGCACUCAGCACACCGCCGUGCGCCCCACGUGGUACCGGGGCUCUCUCUCGGUGCUGCUCGUAUAUUGUAGGUGUGGAUGUCGGCUUGCAGUCACCUCGCUGCACUUCAGGUCUUCCUCUGUUUAUGUCUUUCUUUCACUGCUCCGUCAGGCAGGCUUUGCGGUUGAUUCCUCUUCAUAUGUGCUGCACACAGCAGAGACCCUGGCAGAUUGGAGGCCCCGCUUUAACACAGAAUAGAGGAACAGGACUGUGAGUUAGGCGCUCUGUCUUCUGACACACUUUGAUGAUGUCCUAACGCAGUAGAUCUGUGCCAACUCUGACAUGACCGUGGAGUGAAGAGGGAACAUACUGUAAAAUGCUUUACUUCUGUGGUGGAGAUGCCAGAGAUAUUAUUCUACAGAUGGGAAACUGAGUCCCAGAGAAGCAAACAGACUUGCCUUAAAUUAUGUGACAAGUGGACCUCAGGCAAAACACUCAGCAUGUUGGAUUAUAACCAGUUAUUUCUGCCUUCUGGCUUUCUAAGAAAAUACAGGUAGAAUUUCCUGUUAGAGAAGCAACCCUUCAUAUUUUCAGGAUGGCCGGUUCUCUUUCACCUGUCCAGUUAGCAUUUGCCUCGUCCUGAAGGUGGAACGUGUUCCCUGCUGAGCUGUGGGGUGGAAGAGGAGGUGGGCACCCCUCGUUGCCUAAGAGAUGAGCUGGAUUGGAAUUGAAGCUUUAUUGGCUGGCGAGAACACUCUGCGCUGUUUGCUUGCUCUGUAACUUACAGAAAGCAGUAUCUGGAGAGGAGGCCACGAAGGAAAAGAAAUACUGUGAAAUAUCCAGCCCUGGACAACGCAGCACACAGAAAGGGGAAAUAGAACUUGAGCUGUAAGUCCAAAACAGUCAGUGCAGUCACCGUGAUAGCGCACAACGGGGGCGGAAAGGCUGAAGGAUCCGGAAUGGUACUGACUCCGGGUGCUGCCCAGUCGCCCUCGCUGCUGAACUCAGAGGAACCUGUGUUCCUGCACAGACAGUCUUCAAGCGGCAGAAUCUCUUGCCUACAAGGUUCGCAAAGCAUAUAUUGCUGCUGAUCUGAAACCCACUAGGAGAGGCUGAGCAGGCUGGGGAACUAAACAGGUUUUGUAGAAUGAUGAAUUUUUUGGAAGACCUAACAUAUUCUUGGCACUCGGUGACCUCACUGUUAUUUUUCCAAGUCUUAGUUGUACAGUACACUAGCACAAGGACACGGGAUGCCCGGGUAGGGAAGAAAAGAGACUGGCAAAACUUCUUCAGGUCUUCCCCAGUGGUUACAUCGCUUGGGCUUUGGGCUAAGAGGAGCAGAAAAAGCAAAAAACACUGGCUGAGAGUUUUGAUUGUUUAUUCUAUCCCAGGCCUUCUGCUGAACAUACACACGUUAUCUAGUUUAACCAGUAGACCCACACCAUCCUUCCCUGAGGCUUCUAAGCUUCCCCUUUUAAGAUGAGAAAACAGGGGCUUAGCUAGGUCAGAGAGUGUAGCUGUUAAGAGCCUGUGCUCUGGCUGCAGCCAGACUGUCUGGGUUUGAAUCCCAGGUCCUCUACUUCUGAGCCCUGCGACACUGAGCAAGGGAUUUCACUGCUGACUCAUGUAUAAGAGGAUGUGAAAGUCGUACGUGUCAUUGUGAUGAUUAACUAGCACAAUGCAUACGGAGCACUGGGAAGAAUAUCCCACGCUUAGGAUUUAAUAAAUGUUACUGAUUUUUAUUACACACAAGGUUAUUUCCCCAACUACAAAGAGUGUGGUGGCAGAGACCUGUGUUUCCCUUUCCUGUAUAAGUGUACUGAAUGAGAGAGAGAGGGAGAGAGAGGAUGUGACACGUGACUAGGAAAAGGAGAAGUGAUGUUGCUGAUUAAUUGAUCACUGCUGAGCAGCAGGCAGGUACCAGAAAGGGAACUGGUUCAGCACUUUGCCCCUGGCCCAUUCUUACCAAAUUUGAUGAUUUCUGAUUGCUGCCAGUGACAGCCAAAAUAAGAUAAGACUAGCACAGCGCCUUGUAUUUGCUUUUGUGGGGUCCCGUCACUACUGUCCGCUAGCAGUGUACGUCCCCCACUGGUUGUGGCCUGUCCUGUGCAUCCUUUGCUUUUUGAAAACAAGAGAAAAGAAAGAUGGUUUUUCCGUGUUCCUCAUGAGCAAAUAGCUUCAGGGUGUGGCGGGGGGAUCACCAGUUCCAUUUAGGGUUUGAAGGUGAUGGGCAUUGACAUGUUGAAAGGGAACUGUCUGUGGUGAUUUCCUGGAUAUAAGUCUUUGGACCUGGCUUCAGCUUUUUUUUCUUUUUCCGGUACCGGGAAUCGAACUCACGACCUUGCGCUUGCCGGGCAGGCGCUCUGCUGCUGAGCUGAAUCCCCAGCCCCAAUGGCUUCAGUUCUGACGAAACAUACAGGAAAGCUCUCAUCAGCUGCGUGGACACUUGCGGCUUCCCUCCCAGGAGAGGAGGGAUGAAUUGUGUUUCCUCAGGCUUGCAGCUGCCAGCUGCUGUGCUUCGGGGGCAGCAAAGUCCUAGACUUUCUGCAGGUCACAGGCAGAUUUCAGGGCCGUGGCAGCUGGAAGCCUGCAGCUCAGAAGAGAGUAAAGAAGGAUCUGGGGCUAUGAGGCAGUGCUUCAAAACCAGCACCAGGAUCAAACCUGGAAGGAGCACAGUUUGCCUGACUAAUCAGAAGAUGCACAGAGGAAAACAGCGACAGUGACCUUCACUACGGCUGUCACCUCCCUGUUUGUACAGCGCUCCCGGCUCCUGAGCGCCCUGGAGACUACUGGUGAGGCAGCGUCCUUUUGCAGCGGCUGUGUGCGUGGCUGUGGGCUCCUCCUGUGUGCUCCCUCUGCUCACACUUCACAGAAUCCUGUUCCCAGGACCAGUGUGAUCAGCGGGAACCUUCUUUGGCUUCUCAACCAGCCGAGAAGAAUGGCAGGGCCCUGGCUUUCUUCUCUGCAGUUUUUGUUAGUUCCUUUAUCUUGAUGCUAAAUGUGAAGUCAUUUCCCAGGCUGGUAGAGAAAUCGGCUUGUCUCCUGGAGAAGUGCCCCCAACCCUGCUACCUGCAAGGUAAUCAAGGCCUAUCCAGAGAAAAGUUGCUUUCCUUAAACUGAUUUAUUUUGUGAAAGAGACCUACGCACUGAGACACCCUUAUGCUUGCCAGGGUGAGAGUCUCCAGGAAAUCUCCACAGCUCCUGCUUUUGCACACGAAUGAUUCACCACUACAGCAAUUGCCUUCCCCCUGUAACAUCUAGGGAGAUGGAGGAGUCCAGAAUUUACAGUGGGAUAUAACCACAAAGGGAGAACUCACUGGAAAGGGAGCUCCAAAAAUCCCAAAAUCUCUGUAGUUGCCACAGCUUACAUUUGAGGGCAGCUUUUCAGCACACUGCCAAGGGUGUCAUAAUCAAAGUACAGCCCCUUGCUCAAUUUAGAGGAUAGAAAUAAAUAUCUAGAGAUGGAGGAGACCAGAGUUUGCAGGGCAGAUAACCAUAAAGGGAGAACUCACUGGAAAGGGAGCUCCAAAAACCUACAGAGGGUUCACUGAAUGUCUUUGGCAAAGCAUUACCAGUCUGCACGUGUGUGUAAAGAAGUAAUCGAGAACAGGAAAAGAACUUUCAGAGAUCCCUAAGCUGAACAACACCAGGAGCUCGUAGAAGCUUCUAGUGGAUCAAGCUGAUUUGCCACAAAAUCUAACACUUUUUAAGGAAGAUAAUAAAAUUGAGUACCUAAUAAAAUAGAAUUCAUAAUGCCUGCACAGUAAUUCAAAAAGCAAUUAUUAGAGAUGCCAAGAAAUGUAAAAACAUGAUUUCUAAUAACGGAAAAAUGAAUUAAUAGAAACAGAUUGGGAAGUGAUAGAGAUAAUGGAAUGAGUAGCGAAGGACAUCCCCGAGCUUAUCCUUAAAGAUGGAGAGGAGAACAUACACAGGAUAAUAGAAAACAGAGGACUUGAAAAGUCUCAGACGGGACGUUACAGAGGUGAAAAUACAUGAAAUAAGAAUUAGAGUCCAGUGUGGCAGUGCACACCUGUAAUCUCAGCACUGGAGAGGCUGAGGCACAAGAGUUGCAACAAAUUUGUGGCCGAUCUGGGCUACCUAGUGUGUUCAAAGCCAGCCUGAACUACAUAGUGAGACUGUGUCUCAAAGAAAGGCUGGAUAAGAUUGCCAGAAUAUUCUAUGAUAUGGAGGAGAAGAUCACAUAGCAAUAAAAACUAACCAAAAUGAGCCAUACGUUAAAAAGAAAGACAAGGAAACCAAACCAAAGACACAUUCGCACACUCGUAGACCUCCCGAUGCACUCUGAGGCCAUAGUAAGUCAAGCGACGUAUGUAUAAUUAGAGUCCCAGAAAUGUGACAUGGAGAGAAACAGGAACAUAUCUGAAGAAGUAAUGGUUCAAAAUUAUGUAAAUCUUAUAAAAAAUGUAAACCCAACGAUCUACGAAGCUCAACAAACUCCAAAAAGAAGUACC